AGCUCCAAUAGCGUAUAUUAAAGUUGUUGCAGUUAAAAAGCUCGUAGUUGGAUCUCGGGUGCAGGCUGGCGGUCCGCCUCGCGGUGGUCACUGCCACGCUUCCUGCUCCUCACCUCCCGGUUUGAAAGUUCUCUGAACUUGUCCCCGCAGUGCUCUUCGCUGAGUCGCUCGGGGUGGCCGGAACGUUUACUUUGAAAAAAUUAGAGUGUUCAAAGCAGGCGCGUCGCCUGAAUACUGUUGCAUGGAAUAAUGGAAUAGGACCUCGGUUCUAUUUUGUUGGUUUUCGGAAGUCGAGGUAAUGAUUAAUAGGGACGGCCGGGGGCAUUUGUAUUGCGGCGUUAGAGGUGAAAUUCUUGGAUCGUCGCAAGACAAACUACAGCGAAGGCGUUUGCCAAGAAUGUCUUCA
rnacentral:rRNA from 1 species